CCAGAGCGGAGGAGGAGACAAAAAAAGCAUCGAAAGGGAAGUAAGAGCUCUCACUCAUACCUGUUUUUAUCCGCUCCAUUUCAAGAGCCGUUUUCCUACUGGAUGGAGUGAAUUUCAACUGCUAAAACAUCUGUAGCAGGUCUACAGAUUCCCUAAAGGCUCGUCUGCUAGCACGCACGGAGUGAUCCUUCUUCUCACAUAUGAACAAUCUUUGGAGUCACCAGCUCCGCUGACACGUCGGGGUGAAUUCUCUGCCUGGAAACACCGCAAACUAAUCGGAACCGGCGGCCGACAGAGACGAACUGGUGUCGUUGGACACGAGGGGGUCGACUAGAGUUCAAAGCUGGAAGUCGGAGUUGGGAAUCACAUCUCACCCGAACUGAAUCCAGACUGAACUGCUCCCUCCAGGUGUGACUUCCUGUGUCGGAGUCUGUGGUGAUGGGAGGAGAGCAGAGCCACGAGAGGGAGGACACAGACGACAAACAUGAAGAAUCUGUCAGUAUCGACGGCUCAGACUCUGCAGCCUCUGAAGACACUGCAGGAGAGCUGCCCCAGUGCCACAUGGGAAACAGGAAGGUGGACAACAUGUGCUUCAUGAUCACCUGCACCAACUGGUAUUAAACCGGUUCUGUUCCAACAGUUUAAUAAAAGAGAAGAUGUUAAAACCUGUGGGUUGAGUUGAUGUUGAUGUGAAGUUGACUGCAAGCAGAACGUGUUUGCUGCGUUGUUCCGCCGCUCAGACUCUGCGGUGUUGAAGAGUCGACAGAAGAUGAGCGGCCGCCUGUUGAAUGUUGGUUGUUGCUUGUGUGUCUUAACGUCCACCUGCUGUUCUUUGGAUCCUGCUUUCAGUUUGAUGUGUGACAGUGGAUGAAUUGUGUCCUCCUGUUUCUGAUGGAAAGCACACAGCGAUAGAACUGAAGGUUACGUCGAACACAUUUGAGUUCUUACAUCCAGUAUUACGUUUCAUUUCCCGUCGCCUCGUCGGUACACCUGUGUUGGGGAGGCUACUAUCCAAAUGUAGUAGGUUACAAAAAAACAGAAAAUAAAACAACCCCACAGGGUCUCUUGGACUUUCUUA